AGGCUUACGACAGUCAUAGCGCUACGAACAUCGUCACCCGUAUAAUUUAGCACAGGCUUACGACAGUCGUAGCGCUACGAACAUCGUAGCCCUUAUACUUAAGCA